GAUGAACGCUAGCGGCAGGCCUAAUACAUGCAAGUCGAACGGUAAGGUCUCUUCGGAGAUACACGAGUGGCGCACGGGUGCGUAACGCGUAUGCAACCUACCUUUAACUGGGAGAUAGCCCCGAGAAAUCGGGAAUAAUACCCCAUAACAUUCAGAAGAUGCAUAUUUUUUGAAUCAAAGUUCCGGCGGUUAAAGAUGGGCAUGCGUGGCAUUAGCUAGUUGGUGAGGUAACGGCUCACCAAGGCGACGAUGCCUAGGGGUUCUGAGAGGAUAUACCCCCA
rnacentral:rRNA from 1 species